rnacentral:rRNA from 1 species
AUGGAGCCGACCUUGAAAUACCACCCUUUAAUGUUUGAUGUUCUAACGUGGACCCGUUACCCGGGUUGCGGACAGUGUCUGGUGGGUAGUUUGACUGGGGCGGUCUCCUCCUAAAGAGUAACGGAGGAGCACGAAGGUUGGCUAAUCCUGGUCGGACAUCAGGAGGUUAGUGCAAUGGCAUAAGCCAGCUUGACUGCGAGCGUGACGGCGCGAGCAGGUGCGAAAGCAGGUCAUAGUGAUCCGGUGGUUCUGAAUGGAAGGGCCAUCGCUCAACGGAUAAAAGGUACUCCGGGGAUAACAGGCUGAUACCGCCCAAGAGUUCAUAUCGACGGCGGUGUUUGGCACCUCGAUGUCGGCUCAUCACAUCCUGGGGCUGAAGUAGGUCCCAAGGGUAUGGCUGUUCGCCAUUUAAAGUGGUACGCGAGCUGGGUUUAGAACGUCGUGAGACAGUUCGGUCCCUAUCUGCCGUGGGCGCUGGAGAACUGAGGGGGGCUGCUCCUAGUACGAGAGGACCGGAGUGGACGCAUCACUGGUGUUCGGGUUGUCAUGCCAAUGGCACUGCCCGGUAGCUAAAUGCGGAAGAGAUAAGUGCUGAAAGCAUCUAAGCACGAAACUUGCCCCGA